AACGAACGCUGGCGGCAUGCCUAACACAUGCAAGUCGAACGAGACCUUCGGGUCUAGUGGCGCACGGGUGCGUAACGCGUGGGAACCUGCCCUUAGGUUCGGAAUAACUCCCCGAAAGGGGUGCUAAUACCGGAUAAUGUCUUCGGACCAAAGAUUUAUCGCCUUUGGAUGGGCCCGCGUUGGAUUAGCUAGUUGGUAGGGUAAAAGCCUACCAAGGCGACGAUCCAUAGCUGGUCUGAGAGGAUGAUCAGCCACACUGGGACUGAGACAUGGCCCAGACUCCUACGGGAGGCAGCAGUGGGGAAGAUUGGACAAUGGGAGAAAGCCUGAUCCAGCAAUGCCGCGUGAGUGAUGAAGGCCUUAGGGUUGUAAAGCUCUUUUACCCGGGAUGAUAAUGACAGUACCGGGAGAAGAAGCGCCGGCUAACUCCGUG
rnacentral:rRNA from 1 species